rnacentral:rRNA from 1 species
GAUAAACGCUAGCGGCGUGCCUUAUGCAUGCAAGUCGAACGGUCUAUCGAAAGAUAGAUAGUGGCAAACGGCUGAGUAACACGUAAGCAACCUGCCCUUAAGCGGGGAAUAACACCGGGAAACCGGUGCUAAUACCGCAUGUGGUAGUGGAGGUAGGUUUCCAUUACUAAAGCUUUCGGGCGCUUGAGGAGGGGCUUGCGUCCUAUCAGGUAGUUGGUGGGGUAACGGCCUACCAAGCCUAUGACGGGUAGCUGGUUUGAGAGGAUGUCCAGCCAGACGGGGACUGAGACACGGCCCCGACUCCUACGGGAGGCAG